rnacentral:rRNA from 1 species
UACGGAGGGUGCGAGCGUUGUCCGGAAUCACUGGGCGUAAAGGGCGCGUAGGUGGCGCGGGCAGUCAACGGUGAAAGUUCGGGGCUCAACCCUGAAUCGGCCGUCGAUACUCCCGGGCUUGAGCACUGUAGAGGCAGAUGGAAUUCCGGGUGUAGCGGUGGAAUGCGUAGAGAUCCGGAAGAACACCGGUGGCGAAGGCGGUCUGCUGGGCAGUAGCUGACACUGAGGCGCGACGGCGUGGGGAGCAAACAGG